rnacentral:rRNA from 1 species
CCUACGGGAGGCAGCAGUGAGGAAUAUUGGUCAAUGGGCGAGAGUCUGAACCAGCCAAGUCGCGUGAAGGAUGACGGCUCUAUGGUUUGUAAACUUCUUUUAUAUGGGAAUAAAGUGAGGAACGUGUUUCUUUCUGUAUGUACCAUAUGAAUAAGGAUCGGCUAACUCCGUGCCAGCAGCCGCGGUAAUACGGAGGAUUCGAGCGUUAUCCGGAUUUAUUGGGUUUAAAGGGUGCGUAGGUGGUCAAUUAAGUCAGCGGUGAAAGUUUGUGGCUCAACCAUGGAAUUGCCGUUGAAACUGGUUGGCUUGAGUGUAUUUGAGGUAGGCGGAAUGCGUGGUGUAGCGGUGAAAUGCUUAGAUAUCACGCAGAACUCCGAUUGCGAAGGCAGCUUACUAAGCUAUAACUGACACUGAGGCACGAAAGCGUGGGGAUCAAACAGGAUUAGAUACCCCUGUAGUC